rnacentral:rRNA from 1 species
GUGCCAGCCGCUGCGGUAAUACGGAGGGUGCAAGCGUUAAUCGGAAUUACUGGGCGUAAAGCGUGCGCAGGCGGUUGUUAAGCGAGAUGUGAAAUCCCCGGGCUUAACCUGGGAGUUGCAUUUCGAACUGACAAGCUAGAGUCUCGUAGAGGGGGUAGAAUUCCAGGUGUAGCGGUGAAAUGCGUAGAGAUCUGGAGGAAUACCGGUGGCGAAGGCGGCCCCCUGGACGAAGACUGACGCUCAGGCACGAAAGCGUGGGGAGCAAACAGGAUUAGAUACCCUGGUAGUCCACGCCGUAAACGAUGUCUACUCGGAGUCUGGUGUCUUGAAUACUGGCUCUCAAGCUAACGCAUUAAGUAGACCGCCUGGGGAGUACGGCCGCAAGGUUAAAACUCAAAUGAAUUGACGGGGGCCCGCACAAGCGGUGGAGCAUGUGGUUUAAUCGAUGCAACGCGAAGAACCUUACCUACUCUUGACAUCCAAAGAAGAGACCAGAGAUGGUUUGUGCCUUCGGGAACUUUG